rnacentral:rRNA from 1 species
CAGCAGCCGCGGUAACACGCAGGGUGCGAGCGUUAAUCGGAAUUACUGGGCGUAAAGCGUGCGCAGGCGGUUGUGUAAGACAGGUGUGAAAUCCCCGGGCUUAACCUGGGAACUGCGCUUGUGACUGCACAGCUAGAGUAUGGCAGAGGGGGGUGGAAUUCCACGUGUAGCAGUGAAAUGCGUAGAGAUGUGGAGGAACACCGACGGCGAAGGCAGCCCCCUGGGCCAAUACUGACGCUCAUGCACGAAAGCGUGGGGAGCAAACAGGAUUAGAUACCCCUGUAGUCCCUGUCUCUUAUAC